CCGCCCCCUGCGCCGUCGCUGCCAACCCGGAAGGAGCCCGGAGGGGCCCGGGCGGCCCGGGCGCCCCAGCCAGGAGGCCCGCCAGGAUCCAGCCCUCCAAGGAAAGCUUCCUGAGCAGUGCGUGCCAUGUGUACUGGGCACCUCACGGCGGCCACUUCGCAUCCUGUCUCAAGUGAAUCUUCAAGCCACUCUGCUGGAACUGGGUGCAAUAUUCCCAUUUUACAGAAGAGAAAACUGAGGCCCAGACACUCACAGUCUCCCUAGAAGGAGAUCUGGGUGGACCCCAUCAAUGCAGGGUCUGUUCUUAUUCUCAUUUUACAGGUGGAGAAACUGAGCCACAGAGAGGCGCUGUCAUUUACCUGAAGCACCGUGGCAGGAGUUUGGCAGAGCCAGGAUUUGUACCCAGAUCACCUGACUUUGGAGAGUACCAGCUCUUAACCACAGCACUUUGGUCAAAGCCUUGAUUUCACCAUAUGUAACAAGGGGAAAUGGGACACAGAGACAGACGCACACAGAGGCAGAUGAUGUGAAGACACAGAAGAUGGCCGCCAACAAGCCAAAGAAUGCUGGAGGCUACCCGAAGCCGGGAGAGGGGCCUGGAACAGACUCUCCCUCUCAGCCUCAGAAGGAACCAGCCCUGCCCACACUUUGAUUUCAGACUUCCAGCACUAAAAUAGCGAGACAGUAAGUGUCUGUUGUUUAAGCCAGGCAGGUUGUGGGGCUUUGUUACAGAGGUGGGAAUAAGACAAAUCCACCGUCAGAGCAAACUGGGCCUCCUAGGGCCGGCAGGAUCCCCCCGGGGCUCUGAGGAGAUGGACCAGAGGUCAGUGCCAAGCCCU